UACGUAGGGGGCUAGCGUUGUCCGGAAUCAUUGGGCGUAAAGAGCGUGUAGGCGGCUCGGUAAGUCUGCUGUGAAAGUCCAGGGCUCAACCCUGGAAUGCCAGUGGAAACUGCCGAGCUAGAGUCCGGAAGAGGCGAGUGGAAUUCCUGGUGUAGCGGUGAAAUGCGCAGAUAUCAGGAGGAACACCAAUGGCGAAAGCAGCUCGCUGGGACGGUACUGACGCUGAGACGCGAAAGCGUGGGGAGCAAACAGG
rnacentral:rRNA from 1 species